GCAGGCUCAGCGGCCAUUAAAUGCUUAUUGUUAAGACAAAAGCAAACAGAAGGAUUGAGGAGAGGCGGCAAAGUCAUGAACAGGUAUUUGGCAGAAGAGGAGAUAAAAUGGUCCUCAUUAGUAAUCAGGGAAAUGCACAAAAAUCCAUUCCACACCAUCAGAUUGGCACAAACUGUAGUCUUAAAAUACCAGGCCUUGGUGAGGAUGGGGAGCAAUGGGAACUUUCACAGAUUGCUGGGGGUUGGGGGGGGAUAAAUUAGCCUAACUCUGGAAAACACUAUGGCUGUACCUAGUAAAGUGGAACGUGCCCAUGCCCUGGGGCCCAGCAAUUCUGCUCCCAGGUUUGUACCCCAGAGGAACUCUGAACGUGUGCCCCAGGACAUGGGAUGGCACUGAUGGUAAUAAGGAGACUGUGAAAUUACUAAUUACUGAACACUGGUGUAUGCCAGGUGUGGUUUAAGUUCUUUGCAUGAAUUAACUCGUUUGCUCCUCUACACGUUUAUGAGUUUGGAGGCGCAGAGAGGUUGAGUAACUAGCAUGAGGUCCCAGAGCUGUGAGAAGAGCAGUCGGUGGCUACGGAGUCCAGAAUCUGCCCUAACCACGAGCGAGGCAAAGCACUCUGCUCAGUGUCUCAUUUAACACUGCACCCAUAGACCUGUGAGGCAGAGACUUCGUUCAUUUUACAGAUGAAGAAACUGAAGAGCAGAAAUGUGCACGAGGUCACAAACGUAGUGAAUGGCAGGGCUGGGAACGGACUCUAACGCAGCUGUCCAACUUCUCCCGCAGAUGCCUCUUUUAAGUUAGGGCAGGGGUAACCCAACGCGGUUACGAGAGGGAAGCAGAGGACGCGGGGAGGGGAGUCUGAUUAUCCCACGUCUCGGCUCUGGCCCCACCCGACCCCCCAAGCCUCGCACAGCAGGGGGGGUCACCUGAGGGACGUGAGCAUCUCCGGGACCAGCUUUCCCAGCCACGAGCCGCAGCUUCCCCCACCUCAUUGGCCAGGGCUGGGCAUGUGCCCUCCGCGCGGCCAAUGGGGCGAGCGCGGGGUGGGGGGCGGCUAGGAAGGGCCUGGGGCCGCGCGGCGCUUGGAGGGUCGGUCCGGCGCCGGCAGCGUCUCUGCCCGCCUCCCUAUGAAAUGAAGUGCCCGUUACUGCCCGGAAAGGAGGGGGAGUUGGUGGCUUGGGACUUAUGAAAGAGAAGGUUUGUAAUCACCACCGGAAGGAAAGGGAGAAGGAACCGACCAGACCAGCAGGACUGGGAAGAGUGGGAGCCCCCGCUGCGCUUGGAGACAGGCUGUGGCUACGAUCUGGAAGCAGAUGAGGCAGAGGCUGACCCCCACAGAGGGCACAGAGGCAGGGCAGGUACCAGGGGCCUGCCUGGGACUACGCCUUGACCCAGAGAAGGAACAGCUGACUAUCAGGUGCUGGGAGAAGCUGACGGAACAGCACUAGGGGGAAGGAGCAGGAUGGCCUCUUUCUUCCCCUCCUAAUUUUUAGGGGAAACUUGAACACAGAAACAUACACACAGGGAGAGUCCUUUGUGAAUACGAAGGCAGAGACUGGGGUGAUGCGAAUGUCCAAGACUGUCAGCAACCACCAGAAGCUGGGGGAGAGGCGGGAACAGAUGCUCUCUCACAGCCCUCAGAAGGAACCAACCCUGCCGACAUCUUGAUCUCGGACUCCAGCCUCCAGAACUCUGAGACAGUAAGCUUCUGUUGGUUAAGCCCCCCAUUUUGUGGUCCUUGGUUAUGGCAGCCCUAGCAAACUAACACACAGGGUGAAUGAGAUCAAACCCCCAUGGCAGCUCUUUGGCCCCAAAGGGACCCUGAUUCAGAAGGGAGACUUUUGCCUGAAAGCGGCCAGGCCUGCAGCAGCAUGAAGUGUGUAACGAUAGCAGCUAACAUUUCAUGACUACGUGCCACGUGUCCAGCACAGCACUGAGCUUCUUACAUGCUUGUCCAGUUUAACCCUCACAGCCAGCUGCUGGGGGAGGAAAGCUGUUACUGUUCUUGGUUUUUACAGAUGAGGGCCAGAGAAAUGGAGUAAUUUGCCCAAGGGCACACAGCUAGUAUAAUGUGGAGUCAGUGGUCAGGCUCCAGAGCCCACAGUCUUAACCACUAUUUUGGGGACAGUGAAGCCCACAGAAUCCUGGGAUUGGAGAGAAAGACUGAGGUAGAGACCCAGAGAGGGUCAGGGUGGAAGGAGCCUGAGGUGGGGGAUGGGACUAGAGGUGCAGAGUGCUGGAGGCCCUGGGUGCCCCUCACGUCCCCUGCAGCCAGAUGUUGAUGCAGCAUCAGACCCUAUCCAGCUGCUGCCCCCUCUCCCUGCUGUGUUUGGCCCAUUGGCUGCUCUACAUAGGACCCCUGCCAACGAUGUAGGGUCAACUUCUAGGUCACCUUCCCUGGACAAGCACAGGGCCUGGGACACCCAUUCACUCACAGGUGAGUCCUAGUCCUGGGAGGAGCUCCCAGGGACUGGAAAGAGGGAGAUAGGGCAGGGCAGUCCCUGAGGGGCACGGAGCUGGGAGACCCUAGAGCUGGGGCUCACAUCUGCACUGGUUACGGGCCAACUGCAUGGUGUUUGCAUAGGGCUCCCCUGGCACCACCUCCGGCCUUCCCGGAGCCUGAAUCUGACCAGAGGGCCUGGCCCUUGGUCACUGAGUGCCCUACCUUCUCGCUGACAUGAUCCACUGCACACCCCAUAAAGAACAGAGUCCCUCCAGGCCCCAGGGAGACAAUCUCCAACCCUCAAGAGUCUGGGUUGAGAAACAGACAAAAAAUGAGAUUUUCUGUACAAAUGUGUGCAGUUGCAGACUGUUACUGCAAAUUUGCUUCCUUGAGGAACUAACAGCCUUCUCAGCCCAGCUCUGGACCCCAGUUUGAGGUUCACCAGUUUAGACCAACUCCACCUUCUGUGAGGCCUGGGCCAGCUAAGCACUGCUGCUGAGACCCCUCUCCCUGUGCUUCCAGCCAUAGCAACAGAUCACCUCUGGUUGGGGUCCUGCACAGAAUGGAUCCCAUCCAGGUCCUUACAGCUCUCCAUCACUGUGGCUCUGAGCCUUCUCCUCGGUGUCUGUCUAUUUCUCUGUGUCUCUGUGUGGGCACAUCUGGGAGCAUGUGCACAUGUCUCUGGGUGAGUGUCUGAUGUAUAUCUUGGGGUGUGUGUGUGUCCAACUGUCUGUCUGCCCGUGCACACAGGCAUUUGGCCAGGAGACUAAGGGAGGGUGCUGGCCAGCAGAAGGCCUCCUCCAGGAGGAGCUAGAGGUGAAGUCGGGUGGACAGGGCCUGGGACCCCCGAGCCCUUGCUGUGGCCCCCACACUUCACAGCAACUCCUCACCUCCUCCACUUCUCAUUUGGGUCAGGGACUAUUCACAACACCCCCGCCUCCAUGCCUCUCCUCUCUGGGCCUUUGCAUGAGCUCUUCCCUCUUGUUGAAAUGCCCUUUUUUCUUUUGUUCCUUGAAGAUGCCUGUUCAUCCCUCAGCAAAAAUUUCGAGGCUCAGAAGCCCCCUCUCUGGGGAGGACUCUGCUAUCUGCCGCCCCGCCCAUAGCUUUUAUAGUGCCUCUCCCCUCAUUAGGCACAUUAAAUUAUAAUUGCCUGCUUGAUUCUCCCCCCCACCCCCAAUACCAGAAGCAUUUGGGGACAGGGAGUGGUCAGCUCCUACUGUGGUUCUACUGUGUACAGAAGAGGGCCAGACAUGUAGCUGGUGGUUUGUAAAUGCAUGCUGAAUGAAUGAAUGGAGAAUGACGGAGCAUGAUGAGGAAGAGGCAGAAGGGAAAGAAGUGGAGGACAAAGCCGGGACAUCCUGAGAAGGGGGAAGAGAUUCAUUGGCAUGCAGGAGGAAGAACAGGGCGGUGGGGAAGAGAACGGGGAGGGAGAAGAAAGGGGUGGACAGAAUGCACCAACCUGGGGAGGUCAGGCCUCAUUCUGCUUCUGAAGUCUCUGUAGUUCUUCCUCUGAAUUUCAGAGCAACUGCUACCCGGUGCCAGCAUGCCUUCCAGUACUCAGCCACCUUCUCAUGAAGCCUGGGAUGUGAUUCUUUCUCCUCCAGCUCUUUCCCGAGGGGCACUGGUACCUCGUGGACCUUGAAUGUGCUACUAGAAAUGGGGUGGUCUGGGCACAGCAUGGACCUCAGAUCACCCACACCUUUUUUCACACAUUUUCAAUGAUUCAUUUCCAAGUUGCAUGGGUGUCCUCACUAUGUCCUGAUGGCAGGGAUGGGGACUGGGAGAGAGGAUGCUCCUUCACGGCUCCCUGUACACAUAAAACGCUCUGUCCUGAGCACUUCCACUCCCAAGCAUCCUGACUUGAGCUCAGCAGCCAAGGUUAUCUCACCUCCCCUGAGCCUGGCCCUGGGCCAGCAGGAGGGGCUCAGCCAUGUGUCAGGGAGACAGGACUUGUUGAAGCUGACAUAUUUCCCACAUGCUCCCAUAAAUGAGCCAGAAUGUGACAACCAGGAGUGUUGAUAUCUGGGGAAGGGAGUCUGGCCUUGGCCACAUGAUUUAGGGAUUGGGGUUCUGGGCUCCUCUCCUUUACUGGCUGUGACAGAGGCUGGCCCACCUCCUGCCCACAGGCCAUCUCACCCAGUGUGAGAAAGGGACCCCCCCUCCCCGCCAGCCCAGCUUGAGCACUGAGGGGUGGGCCCGAGCAGCCAUUUACCAGGCCUCCUGGCCCGGGGCUGCCCUCAGUGCUGCUAGCAGCACCGACUUCUCCCCAAGCAGCCAGACACGCUCUGCCUCCAGGGCCUGCAUGUGGCACUCCAACACCGUCUUCUCUCCUUGCAGCUGCCGCAGCUGCUCCAAGCAGGCCCCUAGCUGCUGGGGGCUCUGGCCCAGCUCUUCUGAGUCUCUUGUUCACCUGUGAAGACCCCGCUCCAUCCUGAGUCAUGGCUCAGCCUCCCCUGGCUGGGAUCUGUCUGCUUGAGCUAGCCCGUGGGCCUUUACCCACGCAGCUCCCUCCUCCCGAGUUCCUGACCUCCGCAUCCUCUGAGAGUCAACUCUUCCAGGAGCCCUUCUCUGACCACCCCAGCCCACAGAGGCUUCUCAGAACUCCAGGCUUCAACUCUGGACCAAAUGAUUUGAGGCUGGACAGUCCCUGGCUUCCCACCAGCAGAGGGUGCUGUUUUGGUGGACAAGGAUGUGAACGGUGCUCACUGGAGUUGGGCUGUGUGUGGGCCCGGCUCCAAGCUGUCCCUCCUGGUCGUUCUCUUUUCCAUGGUGUCCUUAGGGCCACUCAACCUCAGAAUCCCCCAAGGACAGGGCCCAGGUUCCCCUGCUUCUCUGCUCCCUGGCACAGGUGGGCAUAGCCUGGCUCAUUUGGUACCCUGGGUUCCCUGCAGGACUGACCAUUUCCCUGUCUUGACCCACCUGGGUGAGCAUCAGCAGCCGUUCCUGCAGGAAGGUUGUAUCUUGAGCCUGUGCAGGGGUCUCAGCUACCGCCAUCGAGAAUCCAUCUGGGCCCUGAAGUGCCUGGGCCCUGUUGCCAUCCCAACUCUGCUCCUGGCCUUGCAGGCCUGGCACCAGCAUCUCCUGCAGGUACACUCAGUCUAGGGGGCUCCUCCUAAUCUUCAGACCACACUGUUAUGACCCUGAACAAGCUUUUCCCUAACCAUCUGGACUGUUUUCCCAUCUGAACCGUGAGAGGAGUCAGCUGGAUGAUCGCAGGGUCUUCCCAAAUGUUUGGGAGAGGGGCGUCCCUCUUGGGCGGAACAGAAGCCCCUGCACUGGCCUCCUUCCCCAGCUACUGCUCCAAGAAUGAAGACCUGGGAGUGAAGUGUAGGGAGGGCCGAAUGCGCAGGAGGGCCAGUGUUCAGGGCCCUGUCAUGCACCCACGUGGAUGAGGGGCUCUGGUCAUCCCUACCUCAGGGGGCCCCAGGCUGAGCUCUGGGCCAAGAGACUGUCGGCCCAUCUGGUCCAAACACUGCUGGGCCUUUUCCACUUCUGUCUGCAGUAAGUAGCAGGAUCAUGGGGGCAGAAGGGACUGUCUGCCCGUCCUCUGCCACUCUGCCCCUCCCCCAUCUCUAAGCACCCUCACUUGUCUUCUGCGUCCUGGUCUGGCCUCCUCCACUCCUCCUGUCUCUGGGAACCCCACAGCCUCUCCUGCUCCAGGUGGGCCACAGAGCAUUUCACCUGCUGGGGGGAGGGCUGAAGGUAGCACAAGCCCCUGGAGAGGGCUGGCCCAGCCUCACGACACACAUCCCCCACCCCCCGCAGGGCAGCGUCUGCAGCCCCUGAUAAAGCAGGCUCACUCCACAAGCCCCUGCCUGCUCCACCAGCUGUGAUAAGCCCAGCUGGGGGCCCAGCAUGGACCUGGAGCUGCACAGCUAUUAUCACUACUGGCUCUAGAUGUAAAACCCUCCACCUCCAGCUGGACACAAGACACAUCACCUUCUCCAGCCCAGCUCCUGAUGGCUUUGGAGCUCCAGCAAGAGUACAGGGGCUGGGACUUCCCUGGUGGCGCAGUGGUUAAGAAUCCUCCUGCCAAUGCAGGGGACACAGGUUCAAGCCCUGGUCCGGGAAGAUUCCACAUG